rnacentral:rRNA from 1 species
UAAGGAAUAUUGGUCAAUGGACGCAAGUCUGAACCAGCCAUGCCGCGUGAAGGAUGAAGGUCCUCUGGAUUGUAAACUUCUUUUAUCUGGGACGAAAACGGGAUUUUUAUCUCAAUUGACGGUACCAGAGGAAUAAGCACCGGCUAACUCCGUGCCAGCAGCCGCGGUAAUACGGAGGGUGCGAGCGUUAUCCGGAUUUACUGGGUUUAAAGGGUGCGUAGGUGGGCUUAUAAGUCAGUGGUGAAAUCUCCGAGCUUAACUUGGAAACUGCCGUUGAUACUAUAGGUCUUGAAUUAUCUGGAGGUAAGCGGAAUAUGUCAUGUAGCGGUGAAAUGCUUAGAUAUGACAUAGAACACCUAUUGCGAAGGCAGCUUACUACAUAUAAAUUGACGCUGAGGCACGAAAGCGUGGGGAUCAAACA